CUGAUGAUACUACAUACAUGAUAAUAUUCUUCAGUUUUCAAAACGUCUAGUUGUCUUUUCUGGAACAAUAAUGGUGAUCAGCGUCACUGGAGAAGUGACUGAAUCAUUGGAUUAAGAAAAAGCACAAGAUAAUCGGGCAGUGUGCUGAAACCAUUACGUGCAUUACCUUGCCAAGAAAACGGAGACCCAGAAAAGGUCUUUUGGCCCGUGUAGAUGCACACAGAGCCUCCCUUUUUAAAACUCCAACAGCCAGCUGUGUUCUUGACACCUGUUUCCCACGACAGCCUGAUGAUGUAGAUGUAUCACGUUCUUACUCUGCGCUUGAGGAGACAGGUACCCAAAGAGGUUGGAAGUUUGCUUAAGGAAACAGUAAGUGGCCGAGAUCUGUCUUCUCCAAAUCUCGUUCUUUAAAUUUAAGCUAUUCCUUAAUUGAUUUUCUAAGGUCCUUAUUUGGAUCA
rnacentral:lncRNA from 1 species